CCUGCUCCAAGAACGCACAGUGGUGUUACAUUGCCAUCAUUCUGUACUUCUUUGCAGUGAUUCUAUUCAUCACUGUGAUCCUCUUAGCAGUGAAUUGUUGAGACAGAAGAUGUGGUUCUGCUGAAAAAUGGGGAAAAUCAGAUCAGAAAAGCUCUGCUUCUUCAAUAAAACAAGACAAGAUGUUUACUACUAUGUUAUUUCCUCUGCAUAGAAGAAGACAUGCUGACAGCCUGGCCACUCUUCAGUUACUUCUUCCAGGAUUUUCACGAAACCUUUAACCUCUCUGUAGAUAGGAAAAAAUAUAUUAUUGAUGUAAUAAUAGCAGCAACCAUCACAUGGUAUCAGUGCGUGUAACAAGGUACUAACUCAAGCUACUGCAUCAUAAAUUGGAUCUUAAUCUUAAUAAACACAAAUGACAAGGACGACCCAUUUGAAACAUCACUUUUACUGCAACAACUUGAUUUUACAGUAAUCUGCCAUGUAGAUAAGCUUUUAGAUUUUGAUAUGACCAAGUGCAAAAACGAAUGUUUAAAAUAGAGGAUAUGAAUGGUUGUACUAAAAAUUUUUUAUGAGAUCCACACCUGUAUGUGAUUUUUAUUGUUCUGAUGGCUUUUGGUGGGAUUUAUAGGAGUGGGAUAUUGAAGAUGAAGGAAGUCCAUUAGUUCAUCAGAAAAGUCUCAGUCUCAUUCCCCCAUGGGCAUGAAUAAAAUUAUUCUGUUCUGCUUGUCCA